rnacentral:rRNA from 5 species
GAUUCGUCACACUAUCAUUAACUGAAUCCAUAGGUUAAUGAGGCGAACCGGGGGAACUGAAACAUCUAAGUACCCCGAGGAAAAGAAAUCAACCGAGAUUCCCCCAGUAGCGGCGAGCGAACGGGGAGGAGCCCAGAGCCUGAAUCAGCAUGUGUGUUAGUGGAAGCGUCUGGAAAGGCGCGCGAUACAGGGUGACAGCCCCGUACACAAAAGCGCAUGUGCUGUGAGCUCGAUGAGUAGGGCGGGACACGUGGUAUCCUGUCUGAAUAUGGGGGGACCAUCCUCCAAGGCUAAAUACUCCUGACUGACCGAUAGUGAACCAGUACCGUGAGGGAAAGGCGAAAAGAACCCCGGCGAGGGGAGUGAAAAAGAACCUGAAACCGUGUACGUACAAGCAGUGGGAGCACCCUUCGGGG